GGCAAGAUGGCCGAGUUGGUCUAAGGCGUCAGGUUUAGGUCCACCUAAAUAAAUCAGCUUCCACAAGCUUCCUGAUCAUCUUUCGAUGGCGUGGGUUCGAAUCCCACUCUUGUCA
rfam:Aspergillus niger supercontig An06